rnacentral:ncRNA from 1 species
CUCGCAUCGAGAGCGGUGGAGGGACCUGGCCCACUGAGACCGCGGCAACCAGUGGCAGCAUCAGCCACGAGGUGCCAAUUCCAGCAGGGGGUGAGCAGCCCCCUGAAAGAUGUCGAG